rnacentral:lncRNA from 1 species
AAAGAGGUAUAGAAAUUAUUAAAAGAACACUUAAAAUUCCUGCAAUGAUGAUUGCAAAGAAUGCAGGUGUUGAAAGUUCAACUAUCUUUGAAUAGUUGAGAAAAUUCUGCAGAUUUCCUCAGAAGUUGGUUAUGAUGCCAUACUUGGAGAUUUUGUGAACAUAGUAGAAAAGGGAAUCAUUGACCCAACAAAGGUUGUAAGAACUGCCUUACUGGAUGCUGCUGGUGUGGCCUCCUUGCUAACUACAGCUAAAGCUGUAGUGACAGAAAUUCCUAAAGAGAAGGAUCCUGGAACGGGUGCAAUUGGUGUAAUGGGAGGGGGUAUG